UAGGGAAUAUUAGUAAUGGGCGAAAGCCUGAACUAGCAACGCCGCGUGUGCGAAGAAGGCCUUCGGGUUUUAAAGCACUUUUUGAGUGGAUGAGGAAGGACGGUACUCUCAGAAUCAUUCUCGGCUAACUACGUGCCAGCAGCCGCGGUAACACGUAGGAGGCGAACGUUAUCCUGAUUUACUGGUCGUAAAUCGAGUGUAGGUGGUUUGGUAAGUAGGGCGUGAAAGCUCCUGGCUCAACUGGGAGAGGACGUUCUAAACU
rnacentral:rRNA from 1 species